UAAGGAAUAUUGGUCAAUGGACGCAAGUCUGAACCAGCCAUGCCGCGUGGAGGAUGAAGGUCCUCUGGAUUGUAAACUUCUUUUAUCUGGGAAGAAACCCAUGAAUUCUUUUGUGGUUGACGGUACCAGAUGAAUAAGCACCGGCUAACUCCGUGCCAGCAGCCGCGGUAAUACGGAGGGUGCAAGCGUUAUCCGGAUUUACUGGGUUUAAAGGGUGCGUAGGCGGAAUGGUAAGUCCGUGGUGAAAUCCCCGAGCUUAACUUGGGAACUGCCAUGGAUACUAUCAAUCUUGAAUAUCAUGGAGGUAAGCGGAAUAUGUCAUGUAGCGGUGAAAUGCUUAGAUAUGACAUAGAACACCAAUUGCGAAGGCAGCUUACUACGCGAUAAUUGACGCUGAGGCACGAAAGCGUGGGGAUCAAACAG
rnacentral:rRNA from 1 species